rnacentral:rRNA from 1 species
UACGGAAGGCAGCAGUGGGGAAUAUUGCACAAUGGGCGCAAGCCUGAUGCAGCCAUGCCGCGUGUAUGAAAAAGGCCUUCGGGUUGUAAAGUACUUUCAGUCGUGAGGAAGGUGUUAAGGUUAAUAACCUUAGCAAUUGACGUUAGCGACAGAAGAAGCACCGGCUAACUCCGUGCCAGCAGCCGCGGUAAUACGGAGGGUGCGAGCGUUAAUCGGAAUUACUGGGCGUAAAGGGCACGCAGGCGGUUAAUUAAGUUGGAUGUGAAAUCCCCGGGCUUAACCUGGGAAUGGCAUUCAAGACUGGUUAGCUAGAGUCUUGUAGAGGGGGUAGAAUUCCAUGUGUAGCGGUGAAAUGCGUAGAGAUGUGGAGGAAUACCGGUGGCGAAGGCGGCCCCUGGGACAAAGACUGACGCUCAUGUGCGAAAGCUGGGGAGCGAAACAGGGAUUAGAUACCCGU